UUUGCCCAGCUCUGGCCAGGACGGAAGGGCAGUCAGAGAAGGGGAUUCAGGAAAGGGACGGCAGGAAGUGGCAGGGUAAGCCUGAUCUCUGGUACUCUCCUUGGCAAAGUAGGGAAAGCUUCCCCCACCGGCAGCUAAGGAAGGAUCCCUGCUGCUCCCAGCAAGGACUAAAGGUCUUUCUUCCCGAGUGCAGUGUGGAUGUCCCGCUCCCUGCACGUGACUAACAAUGGCCAUUGCACACAUGGAACUGCCCAGUGAACGCUGCCACUCAAAAGAGAUUACAGCAAGGAAGACAGGGAAAGAAUCCGCAGGUGGUGCCCAUACAAAGAGUGUGACAGUGACACCAGAGCUGAGAAUUGCAUCACCCAGCAGCGGCCUCUCAAGCCAAAGGAACAAGGACUUUGACUACAAAGUCCUGCUUUAUCUGCAGCCUGAUGCUCAGCCAGUUCCCCAAGUGAACAGCGUGCACCUUUUAAUAUCACCGUCCCUGGAGUGGAAGAGUUUGGCUAACGCUUCAGACAAACAUCCUGCACUUGGAUCCAGAGGGAUAUGAAAGGGGGUAUGAGUCAUGGCACCCAGAAGAUACUGUACAGCAGCCAGCGUGACAUUCAUUGCCUUGACUUUGUCUUGUGUUCCUGUUUACAGGAAUCCCACUUUGUUUCCAGCUGGGGCAAGUGAGAUUGUUGCAAAAUGACCUGGAAAGAGAGACGUUUGCAAAGGGCUCUGGAAAAAAAUUGCUGAUCCGGUGACCAAUGACUUCUGCUGCGGGCGUGGGAGUGGCACAGACACGCGGUGGCAGCAAUAAUAAUAUUGGGGGAGGGAAGCAAAUUCUCAGUUGGUGUAAGUCACCAUAGCUCUAUUACUUUCAAUGGCACGUUACACUGAUUUACACCAGCUGAGGAUCUGGCCCUUGGGAGUUUGUUUUUUCUUUUACAUUUACACAAUAAAAUCCAGCUAGCCA